AACGAACGCUGGCGGCAUGCCUAACACAUGCAAGUCGAACGAGAUCUUCGGGUCUAGUGGCGCACGGGUGCGUAACGCGUGGGAAUCUGCCCUUUGGUUCGGAAUAACAGUUGGAAACGACUGCUAAUACCGGAUGAUGACGAAAGUCCAAAGAUUUAUCGCCAGAGGAUGAGCCCGCGUAGGAUUAGCUAGUUGGUGUGGUAAAGGCGCACCAAGGCGACGAUCCUUAGCUGGUCUGAGAGGAUGAUCAGCCACACUGGGACUGAGACACGGCCCAGACUCCUACGGGAGGCAGCAGUGGGGAAUAUUGGACAAUGGGCGAAAGCUUGAUCCAGCAAUGCCGCGUGAGUGAUGAAGGCCUUGGGGUUGUAAAGCUCUUUUACCCGGGAUGAUAAUGACAGUACCGGGAGAAUAAGCUCCGGCUAACUCCGUGCCAGCAGCCGCCGUAAAAC
rnacentral:rRNA from 1 species